AGGGCUGCUGCGUCGACGUCGCGCGCGCGCACACAUACCCACUUUUGUAGGCCCUUCACUGUAAAGCAUAGAACACGCUCUGCAAGGGGGAGUUCCAGCAAGUGUCAUCGAGAGCGAGGCAGCCGACUCCGUCGUCUUUGCCUCACUAACUUUCAUUGCUAGACAAGGACGCGGGCUGAGGCGGCAUCUUUGCCUGCAGAGAGGAGCGAGCGGGUGCCUGUGAGAUUGAGCGAUUCACUGAGGCAAUACUGCUCUGUGCCCACGAACAGCGCGCCCGUUUUAGACGAACUUAGCGCCCCGCCUGUGCAUCGCGCAUUGCCGCGGUCUUCCAGCGCACGUGUGCGUGUGUGCGUGCCCGUCACCGACAAGUUAGUCCUGCACAGGAAUCCAUAUACUUUGCCUUUGCUAUUUAGAGUGCUUCUUCAUCGCGGACCAUGUCGUGUGAGCGCAUCGACCCAAAGGACUUCCACAGUCCUGCCGCAAACCAGUACACGCUGAACUGCCUGGACGAGUUGGCACGCAGCCCAAAGUUCAAAUCCUAUGUGCGCCACGUAGAAUACAAGGAGCGGUUUUACCUCACAUGGUUCCUUGCCCCCUUCACCCUAUUCGGCAUUCUCUACUAUCACCUCAAGAUGUUCGGCGAAGAGGGCGUUUCCCUCUUCAUGGGCUCGCCGACGAGUUCAUUUGCCUCGCUUCCGGCACCGCCUGCAGGAAUGGUGUGUGCUACGGUGAUCUUACUGCUGUUCGCCGUUCCGUGUAUCGUGAUCGCGCCUUUUGCGGGCUUCUUUGAGGAGCCACGCCGUUGGCAGUCCCUCAUCACACUCGCCUUUCUCACGCUCGUGAACAUCGCCGUCGUCUCCUUUGGUGGCAGCCCCUUGCAUUAUCCGCCGUUUGUGACGACAAUGCCUCCUGUGACGGAGCUGAUUGUCUCAUGGAACCCCGUAGAUGUCGCUGCUAUCCUUGUCCGUGACAUCUUUGUCCGCCGCGCCUUGUGCUUGCAGGGCUUUCUUCUGGCCGGCUACACCGUUGCUUUUUGGCGGAGCCGCUUCUGGGAUCGGGUCUGGCAUCCUCCGCUGCCAUUGGUGACCGUUCCGAUCGCCGUCGGUCUUUCAGGGAUUGGGUGGUGGGUGGUAGUGCAGAAGGGUGUGCCGUUGUUUUUCACAGCGGAUGGCUGCCCCACUCUUGUGGCGGAGGCGCUGUAUUGGUCUGCCGUGAAGUCCGAUCCUGCCGGCGCCGCAAGCUUGUGCUUUACAGUGGGCAAGGAAAUCUACCGGCAAGUCGUAAGGGACGCGGCCUCUCUGUGGCAGCAGCGCCAACUCCCCAUGGUGUUGCAGAACCCUUCUGCGUGCAUGUCACUCUAUCUUGCCACGGCGUCGAUGGCGCUCGUCCACGUCUUCGUUCUCCUCGUAAAGCCUGUGGCGGACUUUGUGUUCGGGGUUUUCUUCUUUGUCCUUCCGACGGACCCGACAUUGUGGGGCCUCACGCUGAUCGGAACAAUCGGUGGUGCCGUCACCUUGUGGCGCAUGAAUGAUGGGUUGGUAUACACCCCUCACAUCGCCGGUCUUUGCGCAGUCGCCUUUUCGCUUUUGCUGAACGGCUUUUUUGCCUAAAGCCGGGUGGGGGGUGCGCGAGAGCCGCUCCUGCUGCUACGCAUGAAGUGAGAGAGACAGGCAGAAUAUGAAGGAACCCGGGGUGGUGGCGGCCACAGGAAGAGGGAGAGGGAGGGGCCAACAGGACUGUUUGCUUUGCGUUUGUGCAUGGUUGUCUGACGCGCUACAGUGCGCGUGCGGCCACUCCGUCGUCCCCGCCUUUCCGCUCUCGUGACCGCUCCUCCUUCCAUAGCACAUGCCCUCCACUCGCCUCCUCCCUCUUUUCCUCCUGUGCCAUGUGCAACAAGAGGAUCUGGAGAGAGGCGGCAGGCCAGAUGAAGGCAGACAUCAAAUACGUGUCCAUGCAUAUGUGCGUGCUGGCGUACGCAUACGUCUCCACGCUUCACAUUGAGAGACACUCCACGGCAGUAACAACAUCAAGGUGAGACGAUUGACAAGGAGCAAGUGAAUCGGGUCUUUCUUUCUCCAGACUCCGGCCUGUCAGUCACUAACGCAAACUGAAGAGGAGAAAG
rnacentral:misc_RNA from 1 species